rnacentral:rRNA from 1 species
UUCGCAAUGCCCGAAAGGGUGACGAAGCGACGCCGCGUGGGUGAGGAAGGCCUUCGGGUUGUAAAGCCCUGUCAGGAGUUAUGAAAUGUAAGUGCGCUAAUAUCGUGCUUAUUUGACAAAGGCUCCAAAGGAAGCCACGGCUAACUCUGUGCCAGCAGCCGCGGUAAUACAGAGGUGGCGAGCGUUGUUCGGAAUUAUUGGGCGUAAAGAGCACGUAGGUGGGUUUGCAAGUCAGAUGUGAAAGCCUUCUGUUCAACGGAAGAAUUGCAUCUGAAACUGCUAAUCUUGAGUAUAGGAGGGGAGAAUGGAACUUCUGGUGGAGCGGUGAAAUGCGUAGAUAUCAGAAGGAACGCCGGCGGCGAAAGCGAUUCUCUGGCCUAUUACUGACACUCGGUGUGCGAAAGCUAGGGGAGCAAACGGGAUUAGAUACCCCGGUAGUCCUAGCCGUAAACGAUGGGCACUAAGUAGAGGGGUUUUA